rnacentral:rRNA from 1 species
GAGGCAAAGCCGCGAGGCAGAGCAAAUCUCCAAAAGCGGUCCCAGUUCGGAUUGUAGGCUGCAACCCGCCUACAUGAAGUUGGAAUUGCUAGUAAUCGCAGAUCAGAAUGCUGCGGUGAAUACGUUCCCGGGCCUUGUACACACCGCCCGUCACACCAUGGGAGCCGGUAAUACCCGAAGUCAGUAGUCUAACCGCAAGGGGGACGCUGCCGAAGGUAGGAUUGGCGACUGGGGUGAAGUCGUAACAAGGUAUC